GAAGCUGUGGUGGCUCAUUUCUUUAGAGAGAAAUCAAAAAAGAAAGACUCGCACGCGGGGCUCGCUCAGUACUUAACUCACUUCGCUCGCUUCAUCGCUCUUUAGUCUUUUAGUCGAUGAGUCUCCAAUCGCCAAUAAUCUUUCGCACAAAAGUUUACUGAACUCUAUAUGCUUAACGACUGAACUCUCAAGUAGCUUAACAACUGAACUCGUUGUAGGUUGAGUUAAGUUUAGUUUAGGUUUAGUAGGUUCAAGCUAGUAGCUAAGGCAAGCAAGUAGGUUCAAGUAGAGUAAGUAGGUUAGUGUAUGGCUGGUAGCUAGUAGCUAGUAGCUAGGUACUAGUAGCUCCUAGUACAGUACCUUGUUUUGUUCGCCUAAAACAAGCUUCAAGUUCUUGUAGGUAGCUGGUAGGUUUCAGUACUAGUAGCUUGGUUCAGUACCUUUUCG
rnacentral:lncRNA from 1 species